GGAGCUAGCAACAAGUACUGUCUGAAAGUAAGAAUGAAGGAAGGAAGGACUGGUAAAGGAAUGAAUGACCACUGGAAAAAUAAGAGAUACUGUGUCCCUAUGCUGGGAUCUCUGGCUCUCUGGUUACACUUGGCUGUCUGGCCAGUGAAAUACCAGGAUCUACUGUUUGCUUCCUGAUGUUGGGACCACAGUCCUGACCAUGCACAACUGUCUACAUGAGUGCUGGAGACUGAACUGAAGUCCUCAAGGGCACACAGUCUCCAGAGAGUACAGAAUCAUCUGUUUGGCUUUUAGGACAAUAAAAAGAAGAGGAGAGAAGAGAAGAGAAGAGAAGAGAAGAGAAGAGAAGAGAAGAGAAGAGAAGAGAAGAGAAGAGAAGAGAAGAGAAGAGAAGAGAGUUGCUAGUCUUUAAAAUACUAAGGAAACACUUCCAUGAUUCUGAUGAAUUUCUAACCUCUUUAAAAAUUACUCACUGGGUUAAUUUAUAACUCAGGCUUGAUGAUCUCCUUUAGGUGGUAAUUUUUUCAGAGGUUGAUUUUCAGGUUUGCAUUCCACAGUAGAGACCAGCAGUGUGGGAGAACAUGCUAAGGGCACCAUCAUGCUUAAAGCACUAGGCUUGUGAAGAAGAAAGAGAUCCUAUGUGGAAAGGCACGCUUUGUUCUAUGUUGAUGCCUGUGUUCCAUUGUAUGCAAAAUUUAUCUCUUUGUAUGGCCACUGUCUUGGCCAUGUC
rnacentral:lncRNA from 1 species